rnacentral:rRNA from 1 species
AACGAACGCUGGCGGCAGGCCUAACACAUGCAAGUCGAGCGAGGACUUCGGUCCUAGCGGCGGACGGGUGAGUAACGCGUGGGAACGUGCCCUUUGCUACGGAAUAGCCCCGGGAAACUGGGAGUAAUACCGUAUGUGCCCUUCGGGGGAAAGAUUUAUCGGCAAAGGAUCGGCCCGCGUUGGAUUAGGUAGUUGGUGGGGUAAUGGCCUACCAAGCCGACGAUCCAUAGCUGGUUUGAGGGGAUGAUCAGCCACACUGGGACUGAGACACGGCCCAGACUCCUACGGGAGGCAGCAGUGGGGAAUCUUAGACAAUGGGGGAAACCCUGAUCUAGCCAUGCCGCGUGAGCGAUGAAGGCCUUAGGGUUGUAAAGCUCUUUCAGUGGGGAAGAUAAUGACGGUACCCACAGAAGAAGCCCCGGCUAACUCCGUGCCAGCCGCCGCGGUAACAC